rnacentral:rRNA from 1 species
UACGAAGGGGGCAAGCGUUGUUCGGAAUUACUGGGGCGUAAAGGGCGCGUAGGCGGCUUAUCAAGUCAGGCGUGAAAUUCCCGGGCUCAACCUGGGGGCUGCGCUUGAUACUGAUGAGCUUGAAUGCGGGAGAGGAUAGUGGAAUUCCCAGUGUAGAGGUGAAAUUCGUAGAUAUUGGGAAGAACACCGGUGGCGAAGGCGGCCAUCUGGACCGCAACUGACGCUGAGGCGCGAAAGCGGUGGGGAGCGAACGGGG